rnacentral:misc_RNA from 1 species
GAUGAAGAACGUAGCGAAAUGCGAUAAGUAAUGUGAAUUGCAGAAUUCAGUGAAUCAUCGAAUCUUUGAACGCACAUUGCGCCCCCUGGUAUUCCGGGGGGCAUGCCUGUUCGAGCAUCAUUUCACCACUCAAGCCUCGCUUGGUAUUGGGCGACGCGGUCCGCCGCGCGCCUCAAAUCGACCGGCUGGGUCUUCCGUCCCCUCAGCGUUGUGGAAACUAUUCGCUAAAGGGUGCCGCGGGAGGUCACGCCGCAAAACAACCCCAUUUCUAAGGUUGACCUCGGAUCAGGUAGGGAUACCCGCUGAACUUAAGCAUAUCAAUAAGCGGAGGA